UAAACAUUGUUUUUAUUGUACAACAGUAGUUAUUUACUGCACACCUGACCGUUUUAUGAAUAAAUAAAGUGACUAAAGUGAUCAUUUAGGCUGUUACUUAGUCUGUAAACUGAUUCUCGGUCUAAAUAAACCUGUAUAACGCGUUCUUCGUUCAGAUUUAAAGCGUUUUAGGCCAUACACUGUGAUGAUGGAUUCUCCUCCUACAAAAGAGCAUAAAAGUCCUGAGCUGAGCCCGCAGCGUGAGUCUCCGCUGCCCUCCGUCUCCGAGCGAGCUGCUGGACUUCUACAGACAGAAGGUGGCGCAGUUUGAUGGAGAACAUGAUGACCUGCUGCAGAAGCUGGAGAAGUACAGGAGCACCGCGGAGGAGCAGGUGACCUCCUCUCACCUGGAUGAUGUUUCUGUUCUCUCCACUCUUCAUGGAUACAGUCCAGGUGGAGGCGCUGCAGGCUCAGCUGGAGGAGCAGACGCGGCUGGCUAAAGAGCAGGUGGAGGCAUUCAUCAGGAGGAGAGACAGGUACAGCACCAGCGCCAGCAGGACAGAACCACGGCCCUCACCGACUCCUUCUGUCCCAACAAACCCAGAGCAUCAGACAUGAGCGAGACUCUCACGUUUUCAGACUGCAGCGCAUGCAGAACCUGCUGUACGAGAGCACCAGGGAAUCCUGCAGCUGAAGAUCGAGAAGAGCUGGAUGCUGGAGGAGGACUGUCUGCUGUGAGAGCUGGACUCCUUCAGGAGCGGCUGUGAGAGGAGCAGCCUCCUCCUCCGUCCACACGAGAGCAGACAGACACACGAGAGGAGAUCAGGGCUUUGCAGGAGGAACUGCAACAGGCUCACACUGUUCCUUACAGUUUAUUCAUGCUGCUGAAUUUCCUAUAUAAGAUAAAUAAAGGUUGAUUUUUGUAUUCAUAAUGAAAGUGAGUCACCAUUUUUCACUGGUCUGAGACAAUAACAAACACAAGGCCCAUGUUCAUUUUGUAGCAACGAAACAUCUCAAUUUAAACAUCUAAAACAUUUCAAGACAAAAACCAGACUGAAAUGCUGGGAAGAGACAAUACAUAUUUCAGUCGACAAAAACUAAAACAUACAGAUGAAUCUGAUGAAAAUUAUUAAAAACACGCUCAUGUCAUACUUCACCACACGCACAAAAAAAAAACAUUGUGCAUAAUGAAAAUGAUUAUUUUUAAGACUUUUUGCACAUUUAACAAUUCAGCACAUUUUCAAUCUAAUUUUGUAUAUAUACUAUAUAUAUCGUAUAAACUGUACAUGCAUGGUAGUGUCUGCUCUACUGAAUUAUUUAAUUUGCAUUUUAAUAAAAAAAUUAACAAAAAUUACAAAUUAUUCCAGCAAUGCGAAUUUGGGGGUAAAAUCGGUUUAAUCGUCUGUUUAAAUGAAAAUAGCACAA